rnacentral:tRNA from 1 species
GCUGAGGUAGCUCAGUUGGUAGAGCAACUGAUUCGUAAUCAGUAGGUCGGAGGUUCAAAUCCUCUUCUCAGCA